UACGGAGGGUGCAAGCGUUAAUCGGAAUUACUGGGCGUAAAGCGUGCGCAGGCGGCUUUGCAAGACAGAUGUGAAAUCCCCGGGCUUAACCUGGGAACUGCAUUUGUGACUGCAUGGCUAGAGUGCGGCAGAGGGGGAUGGAAUUCCGCGUGUAGCAGUGAAAUGCGUAGAUAUGCGGAGGAACACCGAUGGCGAAGGCAAUCCCCUGGGCCUGCACUGACGCUCAUGCACGAAAGCGUGGGGAGCAAACAGG
rnacentral:rRNA from 1 species